UAUUAUGAAGGGUAUUGAGCAGUUCGAGCCUUGUAGGAUCUAAUUUUAUGCUUAAGUAGAUUGUAGAUUAUGAACAUGGUACUAGGGUGGCCAUAUUUAAUCCUACACCCAAUGUGAAAUAGGAAAUCUCAAUUUUAUCUCCCUCAGUAUGUAUGUAUGUAUGUAUGUAUGUAUGUAUGUUUGUUUGUAUGUAUGUAUGUAUGUAUGUAUGUAUGUAUGUAUGUAUGUAUGUAUGUAUGUAUGUAUGUAUGACUGGAUUCAAGUUCCUAUGGCUCUGGCUUUAGUUUUGCAAC
rnacentral:lncRNA from 1 species